CGACUCAUUACGGGUGUGACGGAGCAGGAAUUCGGCUGGUCCGUUCCCUCGACCCUGAAUAUCACCGGACUGGCGGAAGGAAUGGAGAGAGAUUCCGUCAUCGCAUUG